UACGUAGGGUGCAAGCGUUAAUCGGAAUUACUGGGCGUAAAGCGUGCGCAGGCGGUUGUGCAAGACAGAUGUGAAAUCCCCGGGCUCGACCUGGGAAUUGCAUUUGUGACUGCACGGCUAGAGUGUGUCAGAGGGGGGGUAGAAUUCCACGUGUAGCAGUGAAAUGCGUAGAGAUGUGGAGGAAUACCGAUGGCGAAGGCAGCCCCCCUGGGAUAACACUGACGCUCAUGCACGAAAGCGUGGGGAGCAAAACAGGAUUA
rnacentral:rRNA from 1 species